rnacentral:rRNA from 1 species
GACGAACGCUGGCGGCGUGCCUAAUACAUGCAAGUCGAGCGAGACUCUUUGGAGUCUAGCGGCGGACGGGUGAGUAACACGUGGGCAACCUGCCUGUAAGACUGGGAUAACACCGGGAAACCGGUGCUAAUACCGGAUAAUCCUUUUCCUCUCAUGAGGAAAAGCUGAAAGUCGGUUUCGGCUGACACUUACAGAUGGGCCCGCGGCGCAUUAGCUAGUUGGUGAGGUAACGGCUCACCAAGGCGACGAUGCGUAGCCGACCUGAGAGGGUGAUCGGCCACACUGGGACUGAGACACGGCCCAGACUCCUACGGGAGUCAGCAGUAGGGAAUCUUCCACAAUGGACGAAAGUCUGAUGGAGCAACGCCGCGUGAGCGAUGAAGGCCUUCGGGUCGUAAAGCUCUGUUGUUAGGGAAGAACAAGUACCGGAGUAACUGCCGGUACCUUGACGGUACCUAACCAGAAAGCCACGGCUAACUACGUGCCAGCCGCCGCCGUAAGAC